UCCAAAAAUUGUUGCGCUGUACCUACGUUAUCCAAAAGCAAAGCGGCGCACAAAAACAAAAUGGGACUUUGUGCAAACUCCCUUGUUGUUCGUUGUAUAAGAUACGCUUUGAUUCAUUUUUUGUAGUACCCAAGGCCUUGAACAGCAAAAGUAUGACAGCCUGCCCAAUGCAAGCACUUCUAUGGAUGAAUGCUACCCGUAGUGCAGUGAGGCCUUGAUUUCAGCGAAGAAUACCAACCAUAGUGACAUAAUCUUGAGCCAGGUUGCACCUCAGAUAGGGAAUGAUGGCACUAGUUCCCAAAAGCUUGGAUGGGACUUGAAGUACUUACUUACAACGAGCAGAGCAGGAUCGAACAUGUGCAGCUAUAUAGGAGUAUACUCAUGCAUGUAGAAGUUGCAUCGUGCAACAUGUUAUUAGCUACCGUCCAAGCUGUCAAAGUGUGCAUGGCUCUUGUCUAUCUUUUCUAGGUGCUUUCAGACAUUCACAUACUAAUCACAGACAUGGGAAGACUAUAAGACGUCAAGAUGAAAGGCUCCUAGCAGCUCUCAGUGUUCCCAACGAAACUGGCAGAAUGGCAGUGGCUGAUUACAAGCUGCCUUUGGUGAACAAAAAAAACGUGACCACAUUAGAAUCCGAGCAGAGCUCCAAUCCUGCAUUCUGAUGACACCUUGUAAGUAAAAGCUUUAUUAAUUGACUACAUGAGCACAUUUUUAUAAUAACUCGUGCCAGGUGUAACUAAUGCCUUUUAUAUGCAUGUUAAAUUGACUUCAUUGUUUUAUUGAAAUUGUGUGGCUUCAUGUUUUUGAGUUGUAUAUGCAGUAGUUUCAGUUAAGACUUUUUUUAUACUAUGGCUGUUUACAUCUUGGCAGUUUUUGUGUGUAAAUAUUGCUGCAGUAAUUUCUCUGGAAUGCAUAAUCAUCUAGUGUCAUCUGCCUUACCUUUUCUGCGGAUUUAAUACCCGCCUUCAUGCAGCCACUGUAAUAUCCACAGUGUGUAUAUUUGGUGUUUUCGGCUUUGAAUCCCUUUUGUUCUCUUCCAAAUUUUUUUUUCAGACACAACGGCUCUCUCUUAUGGGGAGCUGGUACUUAAGAAGCUUUACUGCGGGCAUCCUACCCACUAUUUUCAGACUGUUUUGGUGGAAACUUAAGCUAGACUCUUCGCCAGCGGCGGAAAAAGAGCUUCAGGGACGUGCAUGUCUACAGUGUCAUGGAAGAUGCAUCAAAGGAUACUGGGCCUGCCGCCAGCUGACAUGCCUUUCUUCCUCCUUAGUUCUGUUAAGAUAUGGGUUCAGUUUUUCUAGACAUGCAAUCCAUAAUAUAUGCAGUCUAGUCAAUCAGUGCACGGCAUUACAUGCCAUUCAUUUCCUAUGUAUAUAUUUAGUCAGAAUCAAAGCAGGACAAGCACAUGUACAUAAUUUGCAAGAAUAAAAUUUUGUUUUUUGCUAAU